rnacentral:rRNA from 1 species
UUAAAGUCUCCUGAAGGAACGUUGAAGACGACGACGUUGAUAGGUCGGGUGUGUAAGCGCAGCGAUGCGUUGAGCUAACCGAUACUAAUGAACCGUGAGGCUUAACCUU